CGGGGGAUUACCUGAGAACGGGAGAAACAAACAUGUGUAGGUUCAACAAAAUGAGGAGAAGUUCUCACUGAUCUCUGCACAUACCAUCAACAACAAACUUAAAUUAAUUCAUUGAUAUAAAAAAACAAAGUAACAAAAGAAAAUAGCCUGCAUAAUGGAGGUAGUACCCUUCACCCAGCAACACUCACAACACUCACAGUACCCUCUCACUCAAACGUCCCUUAUUAUAACAACUUGUAACAUUGCACUCUCCAAUAAUAAAUUGACACGUCAUAUAUAUACUACACUCUCCACUACUCUAUGUCUACUAUAAAAUUUACAAAUAAAAUUACUUAACUAACUUCGUCUUAUUUUAAAAAGCAUAAUGUUUUUAUUUUCUUUUUUUUAAUAUAUAAAAAUCUCAUAUAUAUUUAAAUGAUUAUUGUCAAUAUAUCAUCUCUUAUAUAAAUCAUAUUAUUAUUUUCAUGUUAAUUCUAUAAAUAAAUCAUUUUUAAGAAAUCAUUUGUUACUAAUUAUUAAUCUAAUUUAAUUUUAUACAAAUUAUAAAUUAUCAGAGAAUGUUCGCAGUAUAAUUUAGAUUCAUCCAAUCACAAAAUAAUAAGAUGUAGAAAAAUUGUUUUUUCGUGUAUAUAUAUAUACGAAGUUAUUUGCUACUUACGUUAUGUUUAGUAGCAAUGAACUUGAUGAUUAGUAAUGAAUUUGUUUCAUUUUGUGCAUUCUUCUGUGUUUGAGUUUGAUAUAUAUAAAAAUCAAAUAAAAAAAUUUAAAAAAAGAAAAAGAACGGGGGAUUACCUGAGAACGGGAGAAACAAACAGUGUGUAGGUUCAACAAAAUGAGGAGAAGUUCUCACUGAUCUCUGCACAUACCAUCAACAACAAACUUAAAUUAAUUCAUUGAUAUAAAAAACAAAGUAACAAAAGAAAUAGCCUGCAUAAUGGAGUAGUACCCUUUCACCCAGCAACACUCACAACACUCACAGUACCCUCUCACUCAAACGUCCCUUAUUAUAACAACUUGUAACAUUGCACUCUUCCAAUAAUAAAUUGACACGUCAUUAUAUACUACACUCUCCACUACUCUAUUGUCUACUAUAAAUUUUACAAAUAAAAUUACUUAACUAACUUCGUCUUAUUUUAAAAAGCAUAAUGUUUUUUAUUUCUUUUUUUAAUAUAUAAAAAACUCAUAUAUAAUUUUAAAUGAUUAUUUGUCAAUAUAUCAUCUCUUAUAUAAAUCAUAUUAUUAUUUUCAUGUUAAUUCUAUAAAUAAAUCAUUUUAAGAAAUCAUUUGUUACUAAUUAUUAAUCUAAUUUAAUUUUAUACAAAUUAUAAAUUAUCAGAGAAUGUUCGCAGUAUAAUUUAGAUUCAUCCAACCAAAAAUAAUAAGAUGUAGAAAAUUGUUUUUUCGUGUAAUAUAUAUACGAAGUUAUUUGCUACUUACGUUAUGUUUAGUAGCAAUGAACUUGAUGAUUAGUAAUGAAUUUGUUUCAUUUUGUGCAUUCUUCUGUGUUUGAGUUUGAUAUAUAUAAAAAAUCAAAUAAAAAAAUUUAAAAAAAAGAAAAAGAACGGGGAUUACCUGAGAACGGGAGAAACAAACAGUGUGUAGGUUCAACAAAAUGAGGAGAAGUUCUCACUGAUCUCUGCACAUACAUCAACAACAAACUUAAAUUAAUUCAUUGAUAUAAAAAAAACAAAGUAACAAAAGAAAAUAGCCUGCAUAAUGGAGGUAGUACCCUUUCACCCAGCAACACUCACACCUCACAGUACCCUCUCACUCAAACGUCCCUUAUUAUAACAACUUGUAACAUUGCACUCUUCCAAUAAUAAAUUGACACGUCAUUAUAUACUACACUCUCCACUACUCUAUUGUCUACUAUAAAAUUUUACAAAUAAAAUUACUUAACUAACUUCGUCUUAUUUUAAAAGCAUAAUGUUUUUAUUUUCUUUUUUUUAAUAUAUAAAAAAUCUCAUAUAUAAUUUAAAUGAUUAUUUGUCAAAUAUUCAUCUCUUAUAUAAAUCAUAUUAUUAUUUCAUGUUAAUUCUAUAAAUAAAUCAUUUUUAAGAAAUCAUUUGUUACUAAUUAUUAAUCUAAUUUAAUUUUAUACAAAUUAUAAAUUAUCAGAGAAGUUCGCAGUAUAAUUUAGAUUCAUCCAAACCAAAAAUAAUAAGAUGUAGAAAAUUGUUUUUCGUGUAUAUAUAUAUACGAAGUUAUUUGCUACUUACGUUAUGUUAGUAGCAAUGAACUUUGAUGAUUAGUAAUGAAUUUGUUUCAUUUUGUGCAUUCUUCUGUGUUUGAGUUUGAUAAUAUAAAAAAUCAAAUAAAAAAAUUUAAAAAAAGAAAAAGAACGGGGAUUACCUGAGAACGGAGAAACAAACAGUGUGUAGGUUAACAAAAUGAGGAGAAGUUCUCACUGAUCUCUGCACAUACCAUCAACAACAAACUAAAUUAUUCAUUGAUAUAAAAAAAAAACAAAGUAACAAAAGAAAAUAGCCGCAUAAUGGAGGUAGUACCCUUCACCCAGCAACACUCACAACACUCACAGUACCCUCUCACUCAAACGUCCCUUAUUAUAACAACUUGUAACAUUGCACUCUUCCAAUAAUAAAUUGACACGUCAUUAUAUACUACACUCUCACUACUCUAUUGUCUACUAUAAAAUUUUACAAAUAAAAUUACUUAACUAACUCGUCUUAUUUUAAAAAGCAUAAUGUUUUUAUUUUCUUUUUUUUAAUAUAUAAAAUCUCAUAUAUAAUUUUAAAUGAUUAUUUGUCAAUAAUCAUCUCUUAUAUAAAUCAUAUUAUUAUUUUCAUGUUAAUUCUAUAAAUAAAUCAUUUUAAGAAAUCAUUUGUUACUAAUUAUUAAUCUAAUUUAAUUUUAUACAAAUAUAAAUAUCAGAGAAUGUUCGCAGUUAAAUUUAGAUUCAUCCAACCAAAAAUAAUAAGAUGUAGAAAAUUGUUUUUUCGUGUAAUAUAUAUACGAAGUUAUUUGCUACUUACGUUAUGUUAGUAGCAAUGAACUUGAUGAUUAGUAAUGAAUUUGUUUCAUUUUGUGCAUUCUUCUGUGUUUGAGUUUUGAAUAUAUAAAAAAAUCAAAUAAAAAAAUUAAAAAAAAGAAAAAGAACGGGGAUUACCUGAGAACGGGAGAAACAAACAGUGUGUAGGUUCAACAAAAUGAGGAGAAGUUCUCACUGAUCUCUGCACAUACCAUCAACAACAAACUAAAUUAAUUCAUUGAUAUAAAAAAACAAAGUAACAAAAGAAAAUAGCCUGCAUAAUGAGGUAGUACCCUUUCACCCAGCAACACUCACAACACUCACAGUACCCUCUCACUCAAACGUCCCUUAUAUAACAACUUGUAACAUUGCACUCUUCCAAUAAUAAAUUGACACGUCAUAUUAUACUACACUCUCCACUACUCUAUUGUCUACUAUAAAAUUUUACAAAUAAAAUUACUUAACUAACUUCGUCUUAUUUUAAAAAGCAUAAUGUUUUUAUUUUCUUUUUUUUAAUAUAUAAAAA
rnacentral:lncRNA from 1 species